GAUGAACGCUAGCGGGAGGCCUAACACAUGCAAGCCGAGCGGUAGAGUCUCUUCGGUGACUUUAGAGCGGCGCACGGGGGCGGAACACUUGUGCAACCUGCCUUUAUCUGUGGGAUAGCCUUUCGAAAGGAAGAUUAAUACCCCAUAAUAUACUUGAUUGCAUCAUCUGGUAUUGAAAACUCCGGUGGGUAUAGAUGGGCACGCUCAAGAUUACAUAGUUGGUGAGGUAACGGCUCACCAAGUCAGCGAUCUUUAGGGGGCCUGAGAGGGUGAUCCCCCACAACGGUACUGAGACACGGACCAGACUCCUACGGGAGGCAGCAGUGAGGAAUAUUGGACAAUGGGUGAGAGCCGGAUCCAGCCGUCCCGCGUGAAGGACGACGGUCCUAUGGGUUGUAAACUUCUUUUGUAUAGGGAUAAACCUAGAUACGUGUAUCUAGCUGAAGGUACUAUACGAAUAAGCACCGGCUAACUACGUG
rnacentral:rRNA from 1 species